rnacentral:siRNA from 1 species
CGACAUGCCUAAAAUGACUCGGU